AGGAAUAUUGGUCAAUGGACGAGAGUCUGAACCAGCCAAGUAGCGUGAAGGAUGACUGCCCUAUGGGUUGUAAACUUCUUUUAUAAAGGAAUAAAGUCGGGUAUGCAUACCCGUUUGCAUGUACUUUAUGAAUAAGGAUCGGCUAACUCCGUGCCAGCAGCCGCGGUAAUACGGAGGAUCCGAGCGUUAUCCGGAUUUAUUGGGUUUAAAGGGAGCGUAGAUGGAUGUUUAAGUCAGUUGUGAAAGUUUGCGGCUCAACCGUAAAAUUGCAGUUGAUACUGGAUAUCUUGAGUGCAGUUGAGGCAGGCGGAAUUCGUGGUGUAGCGGUGAAAUGCUUAGAUAUCACGAAGAACUCCGAUUGCGAAGGCAGCCUGCUAAGCUGCAACUGACAUUGAGGCUCGAAAGUGUGGGUAUCAAACAGGAUUAGAUACCCUGGUAGUCCACACGGUAAACGAUGAAUACUCGCUGUUUGCGAUAUACGGCAAGCGGCCAAGCGAAAGCGUUAAGUAUUCCACCUGGGGAGUACGCCGGCAACGGUGAAACUCAAAGGAAUUGACGGGGGCCCGCACAAGCGGAGGAACAUGUGGUUUAAUUCGAUGAUACGCGAGGAACCUUACCCGGGCUUAAAUUGCAGAUGAAUUACGGUGAAAGCCGUAAGCCGCAAGGCAUCUGUGAAGGUGCUGCAUGGUUGUCGUCAGCUCGUGCCGUGAGGUGUCGGCUUAAGUGCCAUAACGAGCGCAACCCUUGUUGUCAGUUACUAACAGGUCAUGCUGAGGACUCUGACAAGACUGCCAUCGUAAGAUGUGAGGAAGGUGGGGAUGACGUCAAAUCAGCACGGCCCUUACGUCCGGGGCUACACACGUGUUACAAUGGGGGGUACAGAGGGCCGCUACCACGCAAGUGGAUGCCAAUCCCCAAAACCUCUCUCAGUUCGGACUGGAGUCUGCAACCCGACUCCACGAAGCUGGAUUCGCUAGUAAUCGCGCAUCAGCCACGGCGCGGUGAAUACGUUCCCG
rnacentral:rRNA from 1 species